UAACGAUCAUUUGCAAAUAUUUUCUGUUUUUAAUCUUGCAUACAUAUACUUAUUUUUAAUGAUCUGCAUGGACAGGAAAAUUUUUUUAUUGAUCCAAGCAUCAGUUGAAAUCUAUACAACAUGUGAUAACUGAUCACUGCUUACUUGUAUGAAGCAAAGAAUAUCUGCCAGCUGCCUUGUUAUCUUUGCUUUGAAGUUUUUGAUUGCUGUUUGAUUUUUGUGGCUUUGCUUAUUCCCUCUGCUUUAUCAAAUAAUCCUUGGCAAAAGAAGCUCAGCCAUAAUUUUAGUGGAGAGGUUUUACCGAAUUGUGAUUUAUAUAUGUACGUUAUUGUGAUAACAAAUUGUGUGGCUGAUUUUGUAUGAGUGUGAGUGCUAGAAAAAGUGACUGAUAAAAGUCUGUUGUACAUAAAAUAAAAAUCCAUUUUUAUUACGGACGACCAUCUCCUUCCUUCAAGUACUGUAUUAGAGUUAUCGUUCUUGGUCUAGAAAACUGUUCCAGAUGAAGUUUAGAUGUAAUAUCGUAAAAUUGUUCUAUCAUUAUUUUGUCAUGUAAAACAUUUAGAAAGUUUGAUUGUCCUUUGCUGAAUCUCACUUAAAGCCAAACACAAACUAUCAUCUGCCAUUACAUGUAGUUGCUUUUGUGAAGGAGAAAAGGUUGCAAGUGCAAACCGAAUUUUAUACAAAUCUCAAUAAAAAGGUUGAUGUC
rnacentral:misc_RNA from 1 species